rnacentral:rRNA from 1 species
UACGUAGGGAGCAAGCGUUGUCCGGAAUCAUUGGGCGUAAAGCGCGCGUAGGCGGCCCGGUCAGUCCGUCGUGAAAGUCAAAGGCUCAACCUUUGAAUGUCGAUGGAUACUGCCGGGCUAGAGUCCGGAAGAGGCGAGUGGAAUUCCUGGUGUAGCGGUGAAAUGCGUAGAUAUCAGGAGGAACACCUGCGGUGUAGACAGCUUUCUGGACCACUUCUGACGCUGAGGCACGAAAGCGUGGGUAGCAAACAGG